GCAGUGCGGAGCUGAGCGCUCGCACUGUGGAGGUGAUCCGCAGAGGCGAGAGCUCCUCGAUGUUCUCCUCCAUCCUCGCCGCGGCUCUGACAGAAACAUCUGAGCGCCUCAUGAUGGAUGAUGUGAGACAGGUGUGGCCAACAGAGCGUGACGGGGACGACUCCCAUCAGGUCCGUCUGGGUUUCAGCCUGGAAAGUCCGGAGGAUUCAGAGGAGCAUCUGAUCCUCUCUGGAGACCUGGAGGAGGAAGGUGGAGGUCUGGUCUUUGUUUGGAUUGUCCAACAUGUGAUGAUGCUUUGUUCUAAACCACUGCAUUGUGCCAAAUGGCUGUACGCUUAAGAGUUCCUGAACCUCCAUCCUUUCUGACCAAGCAGCUCCACUGUCCAUGCUGAAGAAAUGAACAGAUCUCAAAGCUUGGGACUCGGUUUCUCACUACAAGCUGUAGCAAGUCCUCAUGGGAUACGAGCCCCCCCUCCAGGUAAUGAGACCCUGGUAACCCUAACCUGCUGAUAAACUGCCUCUUCACUCUUAACCCUUUCAUGCAUAGUGGUCACCACAGUGGACAGCUA